rnacentral:rRNA from 1 species
UACGUAGGGUGCAAGCGUUAAUCGGAAUACUGGGCGUAAAGCGUGCGCAGGCGGUUAUGUAAGACAGAUGUGAAAUGCCCGGGCUUAACCUGGGAACUGCAUUUGUGACUGCAUGGCUAGAGUUUGGCAGAGGGGGGUAGAAUUCCACGUGUAGCAGUGAAAUGCGUAGAUAUGUGGAGGAACACCGAUGGCGAAGGCAGCCCCCCUGGGUCAAGACUGACGCUCAUGCACGAAAGCGUGGGGAGCAAACAGG